rfam:Gossypium hirsutum cultivar TM-1 chromosome 10, whole genome shotgun sequence
AGUUAAAAUUUUUAUUUAUUUUUAUUGUUAAAAAUUAGCAUAGCUGACAAAAUAACUAGACAUUUUCACAUGACAUGCCACAUAUAUCUCAUGACGACGAAUAGAGACCAGUAUUUAAUAAUAGAAAUGGAUGAAAUUUUUAAUA